rnacentral:rRNA from 1 species
AUGCAAGUCGAACGAACCUUCGGGUUAGUGGCGGACGGGUGAGUAACGCGUGAGAAUCUGCCCUCAGGAGGGGGACAACAGCUGGAAACGGCUGCUAAUACCCCAUAUGCCGCGAGGUGAAAUGAAUUUCGCCUGAGGAUGAGCUCGCGUCUGAUUAGCUAGUUGGUGUAGGUAAUGGCUCACCAAGGCGUCGAUCAGUAGCCGGUCUGAGAGGAUGAUCAGCCACACUGGGACUGAGACACGGCCCAGACUCCUACGGGAGGCAGCAGUGGGGAAUUUUCCGCAAUGGGCGAAAGCCUGACGGAGCAACGCCGCGUGAGGGAUGAAGGCCUCUGGGCUGUAAACCUCUUUUAUCAAGGAAGAAGAUCUGACGGUACUUGAUGAAUAAGCCACGGCUAAUUCCGUGCCAGCAGCCGCGGUAAUACGGGAGUGGCAAGCGUUAUCCGGAAUUAUUGGGCGUAAAGCGUCCGCAGGCGGCCCUUCAAGUCUGCUGUUAAAAAGUGGAGCUUAACUCCAUCAUGGCAGUGGAAACUGUUGGGCUUGAGUGUGGUAGGGGCAGAGGGAAUUCCCGGUGUAGCGGUGAAAUGCGUAGAUAUCGGGAAGAACACCAGUGGCGAAGGCGCUCUGCUGGGCCAUCACUGACGCUCAUGGACGAAAGCCAGGGGAGCGAAAGGGAUUAGAUACCCCUGUAGUCCUGGCCGUAAACGAUGAACACUAGGUGUCGGGGGAAUCGACCCCCUCGGUGUCGUAGCCAACGCGUUAAGUGUUCCGCCUGGGGAGUACGCACGCAAGUGUGAAACUCAAAGGAAUUGACGGGGGCCCGCACAAGCGGUGGAGUAUGUGGUUUAAUUCGAUGCAACGCGAAGAACCUUACCAGGGUUUAACAUCCUGCGAUCUCUUGAAACGAGAGAGUGCUUCGGAACGCAGUGACAGGUGUGCAUGCUGUCGUCAGCUCGUGUCGUGAGAUGUGGGUAGUCCCGCACGAGCGCAACCACGUCUUUAGUUGCAGCAUCAGUGGGCACUCUAG